UUUUGUAUUUUUAGUAGAGACGGAAUUUUGCCAUGUUGCCCAGGCUGGUCACAAACUCCUGAGCUCAAGCCAUUUGCUCACCUCAGCCUCCCAAAGUGCUAAGAUCGUGAGCCACUGCACUCGGCCCAGCAGUCAAUAUUUGUAAUAGGGAUUCACUAGUAGUCUGUGAGCAGCUCAGCAACCUUAUAUGCACCCCAGAGUGUUAAGGACUGGAUUCUUCUCUGAGGAGGAGAAAAGGCUAUGUAGGUACAGUAGGUAUAGUGGGUUCAGAAAAGCCUGUAUUGGAGGCAUGAAGGAUCUUCUGUUUUUUCGUAUUUUCUGUUUUUUUUCCUUUUAGUAUUCAGUAAAGGCCUUUUUUCAGAGUUCCCACCUGUCUCAGGUAGGCCAGAGAGAGCAACAUGGUGGGGUCAGCAAGAAUCCGUGAGAAUUCCUGAGGAGAAGGUGACACUCAGGAGACAGAGCCAAGGCCGGCUAGUGUCCUCUCUCUAGCAGAAAUUUUGCUUGCAACGUCACCCUCUGUUCUGUGUUUCGUUUAUUCUUUAAUUGUUACUCAAAGUAUGCUUCUGGAACUGUUUGCAUCACAACUGGGGUGCUGAGUUAAAAGGGCAGAUUUCUAGGCUUAACCCCUGCCUUCCUGAAUCCGAACUUCUCAGGCAGGCGCUGGAUAACUACAUUCGUGUGCAGAUCUAAAAUUGAGAGCUACCCGGGCAUGGUGGCUCACAUCUAUAAUCCCAGCACUCUGGGAGGCUGAGGCGGGUGGAUCACCUGAGGACAGGAGUUCGAGACCAGCCUGGCCAUCAUGGUGAAACUCUGUCUCUAGCAAAAAUACAAAAAUUAGCCAGGUGUGGUGACACACCUGUAAUCCCAGCUACUCAGGAGGCUGAGGCAGGAGAAUCUCUUGAACCCGGCAGGUGGAGGUUGCAGUGAGCUGAGAUUGCGCCACUGCAUUCCAGCCUGGGCAACAGCAAGACUCUGUCUCAAAAAAUAAAAAUAAAAUAAAAUAAAUUGAGAACCUUUAGUUUUUUGUUUGUGUGUGUGUGUGUGUGUGUGUGUGUGUGUGUGUGUGUUUUUUUUUUUGAGACAGAGUCUUACUCUGUUGCCCAGGCUGGAGUACAGUGGCACGAUCUCGGCUCAUUGCAGCUUCUGCCUUCCAAGUUCAAGCGAUUCUCCUGCCUCAGCCUCCCGAGUAGCUGGGAUUACAGGCUUGUUCCACCACGCCUGGCUAAUUUUUGUAUUUUUAGUAGAGACAGGGUUUCACCAUGUUGGCCAGGCUGGUCUCGAACUCCUGACUUCAGAUGAUCCACCUGUCUUGGCCUCCCAGAGUGCUGGGAUUAGAGGUGUGCACCACUGCGCCCAGCCGAGAACCUUCAGUUUCAUGUUUAUCUUUCUUCAAUAAAUAUUUAUUACAGACUGGGUGCAGUGGCUCAUGCCUGUAACUCCAACACUUUGGGAGUCUGAGGCAGAUGGAUUGCUUGAGUCCAAGAAUUCGAGACCAGCCUGGGCAACAUGGCAAAACCCUGUCACUACAAAAACAAAACAAAACAAAAAUUAGACAGAUGUGGUGGCGCAUGCCUGUGGUCCCAGAUACUUGGGAGGCUGAGGUAGGAGGAUCUCCUGAGCCUGGGGAGGUCGAAGCUUCAGUGAGCUGUGAUUGUGCCACUGUACUCCAGCCUGGGUGACAGGGUGAGACUCUGUCUCAAGAAAAAAAAUAUUUAUUACAUGCCUAAGCAUGCCUAGCAGUGUAUAGACACCCAAGGUGCAGUAUAAACUACACAGAUACGGCUUUUUAUGUUCAAAUGGAAUCUACAUUUUAACAGAAGGUAUUAGCAGAGUGGUGGAGUAAACCAUUGGAUAGGUUAGGUAAAGGCAGAUUGUAUGGCACUGUGAAAGUCUGGCAGGGGACUUAUGAUUCAAUAAGAAAUAAGGAGCUUCUAGGCUCAUCUGUAGGCUCUAUGGAGUAGAACCGUAUAUGGACUAGAGUCAGCCCAACAUGACCCUACCAUUACCACUAGUGUGUGGCCGUGAGCAAGUCAGUUGACCUCUGGAACUUCAGGUGUUUAUCUAUAAAUGAGGUUAAAAAUAGCACCUACCGGCUGGGCGUGGUGGCUCACACCUAUGAUCCCAGCACUUUGGGAAGCCAAGGUGGGUGGAUCACCUGAGGUCAGGAGUUUGAGACCAGCCUGACCAACAUGGGGAAGAAACCCUGUCUCUACUAAAAAUAUAAAAAUUAGCCAGGCGUGGUGGCGGGCACCUGUAAUCUCAGCUACUCAAGAGGCUGAGGCAGGAGAAUCGCUUGAACCCAGGAGGCGGAGGUUGCAGUGAGCCAAAAUCGAGCCAUUGCACUCCAGCCUGGGAGAUGAGCGAAACUCAAUCUCAAAAAAAAAAAAAAAAAAAAAAAAAAAAAGCACCUACAGCAAAGGGUGGUGUUGGUAAUUAAAUGACAUAAUGCAAAUAAAAUGCUUACUGUGGUGCUUGACAUAUAGUAAGUGUGAAAUUAAAAACAAAAAGAUUUAUUAUCUUCAUUUUGCAGAUGAGAGUAUUCAGAAGUUAAGUUCUUGACAAAGGUCAUACAGCUAGUAGGUGGUAGACAGUGGAGCCAGGAUUUGAACCCUGAUCCUUCUCAAAAGCCAUCUGUUUGAACCUGAGCAUUGUUCUGCCUCACAGAGGAAUAAUUCCUUCUUGGUGGGUUGCUCUGAAGCUUCAUGAGAAAAUGUCUGUUAAAGCGUUUAGCUCAGUGCCUGGCACACACUCAAUAGUGUUAGUUUUUGUUUUCCCUUUCCACAAACACCAGACAUCUUCCAGGGAUUUAAGGAAUUACUCCAUCCUUACUGUAAAAGGGCAGGGUUUCUCAUGGGUCGCUGGAACAACACGUGCUGAUUCUAGGCAGGCUGCCUGCCCAGCUUUUUGCCCUCAGCAGCACCUGGGUGGAAUUCUUGCAGCUGUGGAUUUCUUCCUCUUCCUCUAGGGUGAAGGCCAUGCCGCCUCCUGGGAAAGUUCCCCGAAAGGAGAAUCUGUGGCUACAGUGUGAGUGGGGGUCCUGCUCCUUUGUGUGCUCAACCAUGGAAAAGUUCUUUGAGCAUGUCACUCAGCACCUGCAGCAGCACCUGCAUGGCUCUGGGGAGGAGGAGGAAGAGGAAGAGGAGGAUGACCCACUUGAGGAAGAAUUCUCCUGCUUGUGGCAGGAAUGUGGCUUUUGUUCUCUGGACAGUUCUGCUGACCUCAUCCGCCAUGUCUACUUCCACUGCUACCACACCAAGCUGAAACAGUGGGGGCUGCAGGCCUUGCAAAGCCAGGCUGACCUUGGCCCCUGCAUCCUGGACUUCCAGAGCCGGAACGUCAUCCCUGAUAUCCCUGACCACUUCCUGUGUCUGUGGGAGCACUGUGAGGCUCUUGAUCUGAAGCCCAGGCUAGAGUGCAGUGGUACAAUCAUAGCUCACUGUAACCUUGAACUCCUGGGCUCAAGCAAUCCUCCCACCUCAGCCUCCCAAGUAGCUAGGACUACAG
rnacentral:sRNA from 1 species